ACGGGUGCGUAACGCGUAUGCAACCUACCUUCAUCAGGGGGAUAGCCCGGAGAAAUCCGGAUUAAUACCGCAUAAAAUCACAGCACUGCAUAGUGCAAUGAUCAAACAUUUAUGGGAUGGAGAUGGGCAUGCGUGUCAUUAGCUAGUUGGCGGGGUAACGGCCCACCAAGGCGACGAUGACUAGGGGAUCUGAGAGGAUGGCCCCCCACACUGGUACUGAGACACGGACCAGACUCCUACGGGAGGCAGCAGUAAGGAAUAUUGGUCAAUGGAGGCAACUCUGAACCAGCCAUGCCGCGUGCAGGAAGACUGCCCUAUGGGUUGUAAACUGCUUUUAUCCGGGAAUAAACCACAUUACGUGUAAUGUGCUGAAUGUACCGGAAGAAUAAGGAUCGGCUAACUCCGUGCCAGCAGCCGCGGUAAUACGGAGGAUCCAAGCGUUAUCCGGAUUUAUUGGGUUUAAAGGGUGCGUAGGCGGCCUGUUAAGUCAGGGGUGAAAGACGGUAGCUCAACUAUCGCAGUGCCCUUGAUACUGAUGGGCUUGAAUGGACUAGAGGUAGGCGGAAUGAGACAAGUAGCGGUGAA
rnacentral:rRNA from 1 species